GACGAACGCUGGCGGCGCGCCUAACACAUGCAAGUCGAACGAUGAAGCUGGAGCUUGCUCUAGCGGAUUAGUGGCGAACGGGUGAGUAACACGUGAGCAAUCUGCCCUUGACUCUGGAAUAACUGCGGGAAACUGUAGCUAAUACCGGAUACUUUCACCGGGGGGCAUCCCCUGGGGAUGAAAGAAUUUCGGUCAAGGAUGAGCUCGCGGCCUAUCAGCUUGUUGGGGAGGUAACGGCUCACCAAGGCGACGACGGGUAACCGGCCUGAGAGGGUGACCGGUCACACUGGGACUGAGACACGGCCCAGACUCCUACGGGAGGCAGCAGUGGGGAAUAUUGCACAAUGGGCGCAAGCCUGAUGCAGCAACGCCGCGUGAGGGAUGAAGGCCUUCGUGUUGUAAACCUCUUUUAGCAGGGAAGAAGCGAAAGUGACGGUACCUGCAGAAAAAGCACCGGCUAACUACGUGCCAGCAGCCGCCGUAA
rnacentral:rRNA from 1 species